rnacentral:lncRNA from 1 species
CAUUGCACUCCAGUUUGGGCAACAGAAGGAGACUUUGUCUCAAAAAAAAAAAAAGAAGAAAAGAAGCAGAGGCUCAGAGAAGUUAAGCUGGGGCCUCCCCUGACCCCCGGGAUCUGAUGGUUCAUGGGAGAGGCCAGCGUUGCACUCAUUAGGAGGCAGGGUUUUCUCAUGAGCAGGCUGUGCUUUGACGUCCCAGGUGUGGGUGCAUGACUGCUCACCUGGGUGUGCAGGUGUCCAGGCUGAGAGCAGGUGAGCCCCGAAGGGGGCUUAUGGAGGAGUCAUGCCUGCCAUGGUGGGCUGUGGGACUGGGUUAGCUCCACAAUCCCUUUCUAGUGUGGGGAAAGGGAUUGGACCACAUGAAAUGCCUCUAGUGGAACUGAGUUUCUUUUCUUUUUUUUUUUUUUUUUUGAGAGGGAGUCUCGCACUGUCCCCUGGGCUGGAGUGCAAUGGUGCUAUCUCCGCUCACUGCAACCUCCGCCUCCCGGCGAGUUCAAGCAAUUCUCGUGCCUCAGCCUCCCGAGUAGCUUGGAUCAAGGCAUCUGCUACCACACCCAGCUAUUUUUGUAUUUUUAGUAGAGACGGUGGUUUCACCAUGUUGGCCAGGCUGGUCUCGAACUCUUGACUUCAGAUGAUCCACCCGCCUCAGCCUCCCAAAGUGCUGGGAUUACCGGCAUGAGCCACCAUGCCUGGCCAAAAUGAC